rnacentral:rRNA from 1 species
AACGAUGUAUGCUCGGUGUGUGCGGGUAAAACCGUGCGCGCUCAGCCAACGCGAUAAGCAUACCGCGUGGGGAGUACGGCCGCAAGGCUAAAACUCAAAGGAAUUGACGGGGACCCGCACAAGCAGCGGAGCGUGUGGUUUAAUUCGAUGCGACGCGAAGAACCUUACCUGGGUUUGACAUGCUGCUGGUACCAAAGGGAAACCUGAGGGACCCGCAAGGGAGGCAGCACAGGUGCUGCAUGGCUGUCGUCAGCUCGUGUCGUGAGAUGUUGGGUUAAGUCCCGCAACGAGCGCAACCCUCGGCGUAUGUUUUACGUGUCAUACGCAACUGCCCGCCACAAGCGGGAGGAAGGUGGGGAUGACGUCAAGUCAGCAUGGCCUUUAUAUCCAGGGCGACACACACGCUACAAUGGCGCGUACAAUGGGCCGCAAGCAGGCGACUGCAAGCAAAUCCCUCAAAGCGCGUCUUAGUUCGGAUUGGAGUCUGCAACUCGACUCCAUGAAGGCGGAGUUGCUAGUAACCGCGCGUCAGCCAUAGUGCGGUGAAUGCGUUCCCGGGUCUUGUACACACCGCCCGUCACGUCAUGGAAGCCGGUAAUACCUGAAGUCGGAUAAGCAACCUUCGGGAGCUAUCUGCCGAGGGUAGGACUGGUGACUGGGACGAAGUCGUAACAAGGUAACCAAGGG